rnacentral:rRNA from 1 species
AACGAACGCUGGCGGCAGGCUUAACACAUGCAAGUCGAACGCAUGCCUUCGGGCAUGAGUGGCAGACGGGUGAGUAACGCGUGGGAACCUACCCCUUGGUACGGGAUAGCUCCGGGAAACUGGAGAUAAUACCGUAUGUGUCCUGAGGGACAAAGAUUCAUCGCCAAGGGAUGGGCCCGCGUCGGAUUAGCUAGUUGGUGGGGUAACGGCCUACCAAGGCGACGAUCCGUAGCUGGUCUAAGAGGAUGACCAGCCACAUUGGGACUGAGACACGGCCCAAACUCCUACGGGAGGCAGCAGUGGGGAAUAUUGGACAAUGGGCGCAAGCCUGAUCCAGCCAUGCCGCGUGAGUGAUGAAGGCCCUAGGGUUGUAAAGCUCUUUCACCGGUGACGAUAAUGACGGUAACCGGAGAAGAAGCCCCGGCUAACUUCGU